AGGGGCUUAGGAGUAUAACUAGACCAAGAGCCUUCAAAGCUCUAAGAAAGCAACAAAUGCUUAACCCCUG
rnacentral:tRNA from 1 species